GGAGUGGGAACACGGCGUCCUGUCCCGUUUGUGGUUGGCAUGUGAUUUUGGGGGGGCUGGCUGUGUGCAGGGCUCGGGACCCAGGUGCGGGGCACGGAGGCGCCGUGGCAGGAGAGGCAGCUGGCUAACGUCCCCUGUGUGUCCCCCUGCAGCCAGGAAGCGACAGAGGGGUGUGUUCCAUCACUCCAAACUAAGAGAGGAACAUCAAAACAGAAGGAAGAUAUGGGAUGCGGGAAACGGGAUGCAGGAAAGAGGAGAAGGAGCAUCCAGGACACUAGCUCCGCCCCAAGGCGCUGUGGACCAAUGGACCAGAUCAGCAGCAUCAACCAUAGAUUGGCUCUGAAUCCUCGUUACACCAGAAAAAUAUACCUCUGGGGUGUCUGGCUGACUCAGUCGGAGGAGCAUGCGACUUGGGGUCGUGAGUUCGAGCCCCACGUGAGUUCGAGUCCCACGUUGGGUGAGACUACACCUCUUCUGAGCUUGAGCACCGCCCGCCAGGGCUCCAGCAGACGCCUCUAAGCAGCUACAGCAGAAGUUUUCGUGACUGACCUCCGCGGAGCUGACCCUCCCGGCCCCCACGCGCACAUGCACACGCACACGCGUCUCCUCUGUGAGAGGCACGCGGCUGGCCUGGCAGCCCUACGCUUACUCCCCUCAGCCCACCGGCUGCUUCAAACGCCCACUCAUCCCAUGCUUGCUUCCAAACCUGCUCAUGCCGGUUGUACUUGUCACUGUGGAAUGACCCAAUGUGAGUGAGGAAAGCGAGUUUGUUUCCCUGAAAAAAGAAACGCCAGGGUUUGAGGACUCGGUCAAGGAACCACAUUAAAAUGUGCCAUGGAAGAGUAGGGGGGGGGAUUUAAAAUCUAUCCGGAAGAUUCUGUGCACUGCCUGCUUUGGGUAUAUCUUUGUUUUUCAUUUGGGGACAAACCGAAGUUGCAAAUGGUUGACAAAGCACCAGGAGCUAGGUUAGUGCAGCGACACUGCAAGGCAUGCCAAUCAUCGCCAGACACAAGUCCCCACAUCGAGACAACAUACAAUCAGCUGUUUGCAAUUUGAAAUGAGAUGUCUAAGGCACCUCGUGUUAUUUUCUUUAAAAAAUUGAGGUACGAUCCACACAACAUACCAUUAACCAUUUUAAAGUACAGACUCGGUGACAUUCGGCACAUGUGCAACCACCACCUCCUUCUAGUUUUGAAACAUUUCGGCACCCCAAGAGGAUACACGUGUCAUUUAAAAAUGACUCUCCGCCUGACAGUCCCCUCUUGAGUGACAGACGAACGUCUCAUCCUGAUGGUGCUGGUGGGAGGGAUGGGUGCUGGGGAGGAAGGAUUUGGGUGUCCAGACACCACCAGGCUCUCACGUGGCGCAUCUUCUGACGCGUGAAGCCCCCAGACACGGGCAUGGAGCUGGGAGGCGGAAGAGGCAGGCACCGUCCGCACCCCCAGAGCAUCUGGGUCAGCCAGUGCCUUCAGCCGGAGGUUCUAGGAGUCAGCGGGGUCCCUGCCUUACUCAUCGCAUGAGCUGGGCUUCCUGCCCUGACCUGUAACAGGCAUAAGCCCACUGAGGCCCCGACUCGGUGAGCAGUCGCUGGUCCAUCCUAUCCAGAGCUGGACAGUGAGUGUCAGAGACGAGUGAGGUCCAGCAGCUGGUCCCCCCUCUGCGUCCUCCUGCUCCCACGGUCUCCGCGAUCCUCAGGUAGGAGGAGGCAAGGAGGGGUGGUGCGAGCCAGGCCCUCACUGCCCGGGGACCGGCAUUCAGGACCCUCCCCUCUGACCACCUCUGCUACUGUCCCCGGCGUACACGAGCCCUUGGGUGAGAGAGCCUGCAGGCCCCCCCAUGGGCUGGGACGCUUGACAGCCCUCUGCCUCCUCGGGGGCUGUGGAUGCUGGCACAAGACACCUCCCACUCAGAUGUUGUGCUCGUUUUCUGAGUGGGACGCUGGAUUUGCCCUAUAAACUCAUGAGGCCGCUCAGCUUCAUGAUUCCAGACUCACUGUGGAGUCUGACCUUGAGCAAGGCCAUUAGGCUCACUGUCUACGAGAGGUGGCCAUUGGACUAGGCCAGCUCCGUCCAAUAGAAAUGUAGGUGAGUCACGGAUGAAGUUUAAAAUUUCCUGGUAGCCACAUUCAAAAAGUAAAAAGAAGGGCCACCUGGGUUGAGUGUCUGCCUUCGGCUCGGCGUGAUCCCUGGGUCCUGGGAUCGAGUCCUACAUCGGGCUCCCUGCAAGGAGCCUGCUUCUCCUUCUAUGUC